GAUGAACGCUGGCGGCGUGCCUAAUACAUGCAAGUCGAGCGAACGGACGAGAAGCUUGCUUCUCUGAUGUUAGCGGCGGACGGGUGAGUAACACGUGGCUAACCUACCUAUAAGACUGGGAUAACUUCGGGAAACCGGUACUAAUACCGGAUGAUAUUUUGAACAGCAUGGUUCAAAAGUGAAAGACGGUCUUGCUGUCACUUAUAGAUGGAUCCACGCGGCAUUAGCUAGUUGGUAAGGUAACGGCUUACCAAGUCAACGAUGCAUAGCAGACCUGAGAGGGUGAUCCGCCACACGUGUGCUGGGACGCGGUCCAGACUCCUGCGGGAGGCAGCAGUAGGGAAUCUUCCGCAAUGGGCGAAGGCCUAACGGAGCAACGCCGCGUGAGUGAUGAGGGUCUUCGGAGCGUGAAACUCUGUUAUUAGGGAAGAAGAUAUGUGUAAGUAACUGUGCACAUCUUGACGGUACCUAAACAGAAAGCCACGGCUAACUACGUG
rnacentral:rRNA from 1 species